GACCGCGUCUUUGUAACAGAGGAUGAGGAGGAGAGCUCCGAACACAGCUACGGUCCAGGUAAUGGUAAAGGGGCUGCAGAGAACAAACGACCAACCCUGGAUGGCCCAUGCUACAUCAAUGACCCUGUUCAGAUCUGGUAAGUGUGAUUUUAUUUCAUGGUGUUAUUUUUAUGAUAAAAUGUUUUUUAAUUGAUAACAUUUGUGUACUUUUUAUUGUGUGUGUCAUGUAUAGUACAAGGUGUCGAAAGCGUUCCACAGGGAUGCUGGCCCAUGUUGACUCCAAUGCUUCCUACAGUUGUGUCAAGUUGGCUAGAUGUCCUUUUGGGUGGUGGACCAUUCUUGAUACACACAGGAAACUGUUGAGCGGGAAAACCCCAGCAGCGUUGCAGUUCUUGACACAAAGCGUCUGACACCUACUACCAUACCCGUUUCGAAGGCAAACUUUUGUCUUGCCCAUUCACCCUCUGAAUGGCACACAUACACAAUUCAUGUCUCAAGGCUUAAAAAUCCUUCUUUAACCUGUCUCUCCCCUUCAUCUACACCGAUUGAAGUGGAUUUAACAAGUGACAUCAAUAAGGGAUCAUAGCUUUCACCUGGUCAGUCUAUGACAUGGAAAGAGCAGGUGUUCCUAAUGUUUUGUAUAGUUGUGCUGUUUUCCGUGGGGUAGCUUUGUGUGUGUGUGUCUUAGCUUCAGAUAGCAGACACAAUUUUUGCUGAUUUUGUAUGCAUAGGUCCACGUGUGCUGAUCUAUCUACCUCCCUCCCUCUCCUUCUCUCUCUCUUUCCCCAUCUCUCUUCCUCCCUCCCCCCUUUCAGCAGUGGGUCUUCAGAGUUGGGUGAGGAGGGAUCCAGCGGGGGCAGGGGGGCGGCAGUGAUGUACCCCCCUCCUCCAAACUGCCGCAUCCGAGAGGUACACUGUGGGAGCCAGGUGCGUCUGGUCGUCAUAGCGAUCCGAGACAUCACCAAGGGAGAGGAGAUCACCGUUGACUACAGCCUGACCGAGUGGGGAGACAACACUAUGGGUUUCCGUGGUACUGUCUCCUCAGGGAGAUAUGAGUGUAUCGCUGACCCUGAGAACAACCGUAUCAAAAAGGAGGAAGAAUCCGGGCUCGUGCCCUCCUCUCUCUCAGCCCAGGACUACCUCACCCCUUCCUGGCCCCUGUCCCCCUCUUCCUCCCCCCUCUCCCACUCCAACGCCAGCGACUCGGAUCCCCAGAAUGAGGAGGGCGAGGACGGGGGUCAGAGACGCACACCUCGCCGCCGAAAACGCCGCCGGACCACCACACCUUCCAAAAAGAGAACCACCCCUCACCGGACAUCCCCGGGCCGCCCUCCCCUCUCCUCUUCAUACCGCCCCCUCACCUUCUCCCCCCCUCCCUCCUCCUCCACCUCUUCUCGCCCUUCUCUGUUCAAAUCCCCCGCUCCGUUGGGGCCCAACACGACGGCGAACAUCAGUAUUAACAUCGCCAGGGGGAUUGGCAUGGGCGUGCCCCCCCAGAAGCUGAGCUGCGCCUACUGCGGCCGCCACUUCCGCUCACUGGGGCGCCACCUGGACAAGCACCACACCAACCAGCCUGAGAUCCGCGCCGCGCUCAUCGAGCGCUUUAUGCCCCACCUGGCGGCCGCGCACGCCACACACCACACUCAGUCCCAGCAGCAACCUCGGUCAUCAUCAGGAGUGGAGCAAAACUCCCACAAGCCACCACCGGGGGGCGCCACCGCGUUCUCCCUGUCUCCUCAACGUCCGGCCGCCCAAUCCCCUUCCUCCGCCGUUGGGGGAAACUCCUCCCCCCUGGUAUUGACUCCACCCCGAGGGCGCAGUGCGGUGGCCGUGUCCGUUCUGAAGAGAAGCCCGCCUCCGGCGGCUGUGAACCCGCCCAGAAAGGCGGGACUGCGCAAAGUGAAGAAGGAAAAAGAGGAGGAGGAAGAGGAGAACGAUCUGGUGGAAGUUGAGGUGGUGAAGCCCAAAGAAGAGGCAGAGGCGGCUUUUCCCCACGUCUUUCAGCAGACGCCCAAGGAGAUGGAACGGCUGCCGAAAGAGCAUGAAAAUGAAGAAGAGGAGGAGGCGAACGGUAUGAUGGAAGACGACAGUGGAGCGGAGGAUAAGGAGAAGGAGUUAUUGAGUUCGGGACGUCUCCACAUGCUGCCCCUCCUCUCCUCCCUGUCUUCCCUGGUCCUCUACCUCCGCAGGCUCCAGCACUCUGCCUUCCUCUCCCUGUCCCGCCAGCUCCAAUCCGCCGAGGCCUGGCGCCUCCUGUGCCACUCCUCCCUCGCCCUGCUCAUACUAUACAAUCGUCGCCGCGAGUGCGAGGUCUCCAAACUGGCCAUAGCCGAAUACCGCUCCCGUGUCACCCCCCAGUGCCCCGUGCCAGUGCCCCCCGGCGCCCCGCCCGCCCUCACACCCCUGGAGGCAUCGCUUUCGCCCUUUGAGCGUCUCGUGCUUCCACAUUUGCCUCGAGUAGGUGUCCAGGGCAAACGAGGAAGAGUCCAACCUCUUAUCCUGCCACCGCACUGCGAGCCGUGUCUGGAACUCCUCCUCCAGACCAGGCAAGAUGUCGGCGUCGAUCCCCAGAACCCGUACGUCUUCGCCCGGCCGUACCACUCCCCAGCCACCCCCCUCCGUGGCACCGACCUCCUCCGGAGCCUGGCCCGCUCCAGUGGCACCCGGAACCCCCGCGCCCUCACCCAGACCCGAGUCCGGCGCCAGGUCGCCAUCUUGACGCAGCUGCUAUUGCUCGGCGAGGGGGAGGAGCCAGGACAGCCGGGUGGGAACGCCGUAGAGCGCCUGGAACACUUCCUGGAGCGUGAGUACCACGUGACGCAGAGCUGCGGCGGGAUUGGCCACGACCCGGGGCUGAUGGGUAGAGUGGGGCGCGUGGUGCUGUGCGGGGAGAGAGACGGCGUGCUGUUCCGGGGGAUGAGCCUCCACCACAUCUGUCUGGAGCUUGACGGUAAGGAGACACUGAGGAUUAACAUGUACGUCAGGCCUGAAUAG
rnacentral:lncRNA from 13 species